rnacentral:tRNA from 1 species
CCUAUCGUAGCUUAGUGGUUAAAGCGUUGGUAUGUAAAGCCAAAGGUCCCGGGUUCGAUUUCCGGCGACGGCG